UCCGAGUUGACCCCGGUAGUCUCUUAUGAGUCCCCGGCAUAACCCGCUGGCAACAUAAGACAAGGGUUGCGCUCGUUGCGGGACUUAACCCAACAUCUCACGACACGAGCUGACGACAACCAUGCACCACCUGUAAACCGGCCCCGAAGGGAAACCGCAUUUCUGCGGCGGUCCGGUCCAUGUCAAGCCUUGGUAAGGUUCUUCGCGUUGCAUCGAAUUAAUCCGCAUGCUCCGCCGCUUGUGCGGGCCCCCGUCAAUUCCUUUGAGUUUUAGCCUUGCGGCCGUACUCCCCAGGCGGGGCACUUAAUGCGUUAGCUGCGGCGCGGAACCCGUGGAAUGGGCCCCACGCCUAGUGCCCAACGUUUACGGCAUGGACUAC
rnacentral:misc_RNA from 1 species